rnacentral:lncRNA from 1 species
CUCCAUUUUACAGAGGAGGAAGCCGAGGUUGGGAAAGGUGGAGGGACUUGCCCAAGUCACACAAACGACAACUCAGCAGAGCUGAGAAUUGGCACCCAGGGCAACUGGAGUCCAUCCUGAGCUUGUCACUGCUGGGCUCUGAGACCUCCUGGUGAAGAAGGACAGUGGCAGAGACAGCCCGACCCAGAGAAACCCAGCAACGCUACUUUCUAAGGGCAUUUUUCCCUCUCAUUUGGAAUCCUGAGCCUCCUGCUCGUCCUGUAGGCCACACCCAGCAAACAGAGCUGGCUGGGAACUGGGAGAAGAGCUGGAGCAACAGCCUGCAUCCAUUUCCUCUUGCUGCAAUAACAACUGAUCACAAGAUGGAGUCUCACUCUGUCAACCAGGCUGGAGUGCACUGGCGCAAUCUCGGCUCACUGCAGUCACCUCCUCUCAGGUUCAAGUGAUUCUCCUGCCUCUGCCUCCUGAGUAGCUGGGAUUACAGAAUGUGAGCAUGGAGUCUGGAGCAGGAGCAGCUGUUGUGCACUGUGAGGUUGAAGCCGUGUGUUGAGAAUAGCAGAGCAACAAAGCAAUAGGAGCUGGAGCCCCUAGGGGCCAUGAAGCCCCUACCAGCCCUGGACUGCUUAGAUUUACUUGAGCAAGAAAUAAACCCUUGAUUGUUUAAACCGGUGUGAUUUGAAGUCUGCCCUGUUGGAAGCACAACCAGAUCCUCUUUAACGAGGCACAGCAGAGAGUAACAUGCACAGCCCCUGCCCUCUGGGAAUCACUGUCUAGUUGGGGAGAGAGACAAUAAUCAUGUAAACAAAGAAGGAAGUCGUGGUGGUUAUGAAAAGAGCUAUGAACGAUGGGCCAGAGAACGUGGUGGGGA